UCCGAUUAGUGAGUUGCUUGCCGGGACCUACAUCCCGCAAGCGUACUAGUAGUCACGCCAUAGAUGUGACGCGCUGAUUAGACGUAUUCCAAUUCCACGCCCAUGGGGGUCGUGCGAGUAAAGCAACUGUGCAGGUAUCGUUAAACUGCAAGGAACAAUUGUCCCUAUCUACUAUCUAGCGAAACCACUGAGAAGGAAAUGGGAUUGGAAAAAUUAGCGGGGAAAGAAGAACUUGUUGAGCUUGACUCUAGUUUGGCACUGUAAGGAGACAUGAGAGGUGAAGCAUAAGUGGGA
rnacentral:ncRNA from 1 species